rnacentral:rRNA from 2 species
UUCCCUACUCCUACGGGAGGCAGCAGUAGGGAAUCUUCCGCAAUGGACGAAAGUCUGACGGAGCAACGCCGCGUGAGCGAUGAAGGCCUUCGGGUCGUAAAGCUCUGUUGUCAGGGAAGAACAAGUACCGGAGUAACUGCCGGUACCUUGACGGUACCUGACCAGAAAGCCACGGCUAACUACGUGCCAGCAGCCGCGGUAAUACGUAGGUGGCAAGCGUUGUCCGGAAUUAUUGGGCGUAAAGCGCGCGCAGGCGGUUCCUUAAGUCUGAUGUGAAAGCCCCCGGCUCAACCGGGGAGGGUCAUUGGAAACUGGGGAACUUGAGUGCAGAAGAGGAGAGCGGAAUUCCACGUGUAGCGGUGAAAUGCGUAGAGAUGUGGAGGAACACCAGUGGCGAAGGCGGCUCUCUGGUCUGUAACUGACGCUGAGGCGCGAAAGCGUGGGGAGCGAACAGGAUUAGAUACCCUGGUAGUCCACGCCGUAAACGAUGAGUGCUAAGUGUUAGAGGGUUUCCGCCCUUUAGUGCUGCAGCAAACGCAUUAAGCACUCCGCCUGGGGAGUACGGCCGCAAGGCUGAAACUCAAAGGAAUUGACGGGGGCCCGCACAAGCGGUGGAGCAUGUGGUUUAAUUCGAAGCAACGCGAAGAACCUUACCAGGUCUUGACAUCCUCUGACAACCCU